rnacentral:rRNA from 1 species
CACGCAGGCUGAAUUAUAAGUCGGUAGUAAAAGGCGGGGCUCAACUUCCGUAUAUCUAUCGAUACUGUAAAUCUAGAGUAUGUGAGAGGGAAGCGGAAUUCCCGGUGUAGCGGUGAGAUGCGUAGAUAUCGGGAGGAACACCAGUGGCGAAGGCGGCUUCCUGGCACAAUACUGACGCUCAUGUGCGAAAGCUAGGGCAGCGAACGG